rnacentral:rRNA from 1 species
GGGGGGCCACGCUGGCGGCAGGCCUAACACAUGCAAGUCGAACGGUAGCACAGAGAGCUUGCUCUCGGGUGACGAGUGCGGACGGGUGAGUAAUGUCUGGGAAACUGCCUGAUGGAGGGGGAUAACUACUGGAAACGGUAGCUAAUAGAAACCGCAUAACGUCGCAAGACCAAAGAGGGGGACCUUCGGGCCUCUUGCCAUCAGAUGUGCCCAGAUGGGAUUCCUAGCUAGUAGGUGGGGUAACGGCUCACCUAGGCGACGAUCCCUAGCUGGUCUGAGAGGAUGACCAGCCACUUGCAACUGGAACUGAGACACGGUCCAGACUCCUACGGGAGGCAGCAGUGGGGAAUAUUGCACAAUGGGCGCAAGUCCUGAUGCAGCCAUGCCGCGUGUAUGAAGAAGGCCUUCGGGUUGUAAAGUACUUUCAGCGGGGAGGAAGGAUCUGUGUUGUGGUUAAUAACCGCAGCAAUUGACGUUACCCGCAGAAGAAGCACCGGCUAACUCCGUGCCAGCAGGCCGCGGUAAUACGGAGGGUGCAAGCGUUAAUCGGAAUUACUGGGCGUAAAGCGCACGCAGGCGGUCUGUCGAAGUCGGAUGUGAAAUCCCCGGGCUCAACCUGGGAACUGCAUUCGAAACUGGCAGGCUAGAGUCUUGUAGCCCCCCUGGACAAAGACUGACGCUCAGGUGCGAAAGCGUGGGGAGCAAACAGGAUUAGAUACCCUGGUAGUUCCACGCCGUAAACGAUGUCGACUUGGAGGUUGUGCCCUUGAGGCGUGGCUUCCGGAGCUAACGCGUUAAGGUCGACCGCCUGGGGAGUACGGCCGCAAGGUUAAAACUCAAAUGAAUUGACGGGGGCCCGCACAAGCGGUGGGAGCAUGUGGUUUAAUUCGAUGCAACGCGAAGAACCUUACCUACUCUUGACAUCCAGAGAACUUACCAGAUGAUGGUUUGGUGCCUUCGGGAACUCUGAGACAGGUGCUGCAUGGCUGUCGUCAGCUCGUGUUGUGAAAUGUUUGGGUUAAGUCCCGCAACGAGCGCAACCCUUAUCCUUUGUUGCCAGCGGUCCGGCCGGGAACUCAAAGGCAGACUGCCAGUGAUAAACUGGAGGAAGGUGGGGAUGACGUCAAGUCAUCAUGGCCCUUACGAGUAGGGCUUACACACGUGCUACAAUGGCGCAUACAAAGAGAAGCGACCUCGCGAGAGCAAGCGGACCUCAUAAAGUGCGCUCGUAGUCCGGAUUGGAGUCUGCAACUCGACUCCAUGAAGUCGGAAUCGCUAGUAAUCGUAGAUCAGAAUCGCUACGGUGAAUACGUUCCCGGGCCUUGUACACACCGCCCGUCACACCAUGGGAGUGGGUUGCAAAAGAACGUAGGUAGCUUAACCUUCGGGAGGGCGCUUACCACUUUGUGAUUCAUGAGGCCCCAUAU